UGGGGAAUCUUGGACAAUGGGGGCAACCCUGAUCCAGCCAUGCCGCGUGAGUGAUGAAGGCCUUAGGGUCGUAAAGCUCUUUCGCCUGUGAAGAUAAUGACGGUAGCAGGUAAAGAAGUCCCGGCUAACUCCGUGCCAGCAGCCGCGGUAAUACGGAGGGGACUAGCGUUGUUCGGAAUUACUGGGCGUAAAGCGCACGUAGGCGGACCAGAAAGUUGGGGGUGAAAUCCCGGGGGCUCAACCCCGGAACUGCCUCCAAAACUAUUGGUCUAGAGUUCGAGAGAGGUGAGUGGAAUUCCAAGUGUAGAGGUGAAAUUCGUAGAUAUUUGGAGGAACACCAGUGGCGAAGGCGGCUCACUGGCUCGAUACUGACGCUGAGGUGCGAAAGUGUGGGGAGCAAACAGGAUUAGAUACCCUGGUAGUCCACACCGUAAAACGAUGAAUGCCAGUCGUCGGGUAGCAUGCUAUUCGGUGACACACCUAA
rnacentral:rRNA from 1 species